rnacentral:tRNA from 1 species
GCUGGGUUAGCUCAGCUGGUUAGAGCAUGGUGCUAAUAAUGCCAGGUUCACAGGUUCAAUCCCUGCUUACUGCA